AUGUGGCGAGACGAGGGGGUCGAGGACGAGGAGACCCUGAGCGCGCUCCUGGAGGCCUCCAAGACGCGGGAGGGCCGGGCGGCGCUCUCCGACGCGCUGGCCGACACGCUCCACCUCCUGCCGGCCUCCCCGGCGCCGCUCCUGCUCCUGCGCCUCCGCCUCCUCCGCAACCUCCUCGCCGGCGACGCGCUCAACCAGGGCACCUUCGUGCUCCUCUCGGGCCCCGCGGCCGUCGUCUCCGCGGCCCUCGCCCUCCCCGCCCUCCCCCCUGACCUCGCGCGCGCCGCGCUGCAGGCCCUGGGCAACGCCGCGCUCGGCGGGGACCGGCACCGCGAGGCCGUCUGGGACGCGCUCUUCCCGGGCGCGCUGCGGGAGCUCGCGAGGGUCCGGGACGCCGGCGUCCUCGACCCGCUCUGCAUGGUGCUCGACACCUGCUGCUCCGGCGACGGCGGCCGCGGCAGGGUCGAGGAGCUCUGCCAUGAGGACCUGGGCCUGCCCGUGCUCGUCGAACUCGUCGCCACCGCCUCCCGAUUGGGGCACAAGGAAGAAUGGUUGGAGUGGCUUCUCUUCAAAAUCUGUGUUGAGGAGGAAAAGUUCGAAGCCUUGUUUGCAGCCCUAGAUUCAACUGAUGGUGGUGAAUCUGGGGAUGGGUUCAGUGCUAAGCAUGCAUUUCUUAUGGGUACAUUGUCAAAGUGUUUGACUGAACGACCUGAAGAAGUUAGUAUCUCAAACAGUUUUGCUCUUCAUGUAUUCAAUAUACUGAAGCAUGCUGCUGAGACUCUGGAUUUUACUUGCCGAGGUAGCUCUGCUCUUCCAACUGGUUGCCCUGGAAUUGAUGUCCUUGGAUAUUCAUUAGUGCUCCUGAAGGACAUAUGUGCUUGGGAACCCUCUUCAUCAGAGACUGAAGCACCUGUUGACUCACUGUUGCAGGCUGAGCCCUCCUCAUCGGGGACUGAAGCACCUGUUGACUCACUGUUGCAGGCCGGUCUGGUAAAACGCCUCUUAAAAUACCUAGGUGAGCUUGAGCCUCCAAGUACAAUCAGGAAGGCGAUGGCAAAGGAACAAGGAGAUCAACAGCCAGCCCUUGCAACUGCAAAGGUCUGCCCAUACAAUGGUUACAGGAGAGAUUUGGUGGCUGUCAUUGCCAAUUGCUUGCAUGGAAGGAAACAGGUGCAGGAUGAGGUUAGGCAGCUGAACGGGAUUAUGUUGCUGUUGCAGCAGUGUGUCAUUGAUGAAGGAAAUGCAUACUUGAGGGAGUGGGGUCUGCUAGCUGUGAGAUAUUUGCUUGAAGAAAACGAGGAAAAUCAGAAGGAGGUAUCUGAGCUUCAGAUGCAAGAACCUAUUCUAACUCCAGAGGUCGCAGAGUUAGGCCUAAGAGUGGAGAUCGACAAGAAAACGGGUCAUCCAAAAUUGGUCAAUUCCUCCUGA
rnacentral:rRNA from 1 species